UACAGAGGGGGCAAGCGUUGUUCGGAAUUACUGGGCGUAAAGGGCGCGUAGGCGGCCUUCUAAGUCGAACGUGAAAUCCCUGGGCUCAACCCAGGAACUGCGUCCGAUACUGGUUGGCUUGAAUCCGGGAGAGGGAUGUGGAAUUCCAGGUGUAGCGGUGAAAUGCGCAGAUAUCAGGAGGAACACCGGUGGCGAAGGCGGGUCUCUGGGCCGAUACUGACGCUGAGGAGCGAAAGCGUGGGGAGCGAACAGG
rnacentral:rRNA from 1 species